rnacentral:rRNA from 1 species
UACGUAGGGCGCAAGCGUUGUCCGGAAUUAUUGGGCGUAAAGAGCUCGUAGGCGGUUUGUCGCGUCUGCUGUGAAAACCUGAGGCUCAACCUCGGGCUUGCAGUGGGUACGGGCAGACUAGAGUGCGGUAGGGGUGACUGGAAUUCCUGGUGUAGCGGUGAAAUGCGCAGAUAUCAGGAAGAACACCCCGUGGCGAAGGCGGCUCUCUGGAACGCAAACUGACGCUGAGGCGCGAAAAGCGUGGGGGAGCAAACAGG